CGAGGUUACUGCGACAGAUCCCUUCGGGGUGAAGUUGCUUUAGCCUAGCGGCGGACGGGUGAGUAACGCGUGGGUAACCUACCCUAAAGUUCGGGAUAACAGCGGGAAACCGCUGCUAAUACCGGAUGCCUUUACCGUGUGGCAUCACAGGGUAAAGAAAGGUAACGCUUUAGGAUGGGCCCGCGUCCCAUUAGCUAGUUGGUGAGGUAACAGCUCACCAAGGCGGCGAUGGGUAGCCGGCCUGAGAGGGUGGACGGCCACACUGGGACUGAGACACGGCCCAGACUCCUACGGGAGGCAGCAGUAGGGAAUAUUGCGCAAUGGACGGAAGUCUGACGCAGCGACGCCGCGUGAGCGAUGAAGGCCUUCGGGUCGUAAAGCUCUGUCCUUGGGGAAGAAGGUCUUCGGACUUGACGGUACCCAAGAAGAAAGCCCCGGCUAACUACGUGCCAGCAGCCGCGGUAAUACGUAGGGGGCGAGCGUUGUCCGGAAUUACUGGGCGUAAAGGGUGCGUAGGCGGCCCUUUAAGUCAGAUGUGAAAGCCCGCAGCUUAACUGCG
rnacentral:rRNA from 1 species